GAUGCUCGCUGCGUGUCCUCCCCGUUUGUUCGGCGCUGCCCAGAAGCCGGCAAGCAGAGUACUAGUGGCAUCCCGUAAUUUUGCAAAUGAUGCUACAUUUGAAAUUAAGAAAUGUGAUCUUCACCGGCUGGAAGAGGGCCCUCCUGUCACAACAGUGCUUACUAGGGAGGAUGGGCUCAAAUACUAUAGGAUGAUGCAGACUGUGCGCCGAAUGGAAUUAAAGGCAGAUCAGCUGUAUAAACAAAAAAUUAUUCGUGGUUU